ACGACCUUACUUGAACAUGAUCUGUUCUAAAGGAUCGUACCUCUCCAUCCUUGAUUUCUAAGGAGGCGGGUCACUGAGUCUGGUGGAUGAAAUGGUACUGCUUGACCAGAGCCUGAUUAACAGCUCUUCCUGGUCUGUGUGAAGUGCUGUAAAGGAUCGUUCUCAGCCUGGUUUCCUGGCUGGGGUGGUCAUGCAAUUGUUUGACAGACC
rfam:Daucus carota subsp. sativus cultivar DH1 chromosome 4, whole genome shotgun sequence.